CAAGACCAGAUUUACCAGCCCUAGUGUGGCAUCCUGGUGCUGCCCUGUUUCUCCGUCCCUCUCUCUCGCUCGCUCGUUCUUCGGAUAGCCUGACUCCUUCGCAUGGCGAGCCAUCAGCAGCCGAUCCCGCGGCCGUGGAUCCUCGAUUUGCUCCUCCCCGCCUUAGUCGUUCUCCUCAUCGCCGCCCAUGUCUUUGCGUUGGUCUAUUGGAUCUACAGGUUAGCCACCGACAAGCAACCGCAGGUUGGCCCGCAGAGGAGCAAGGCCCAUUGAUCACCGUGAGUUUGCUCGUUCCAUACCCGACGAUCCCAAAUAUUUGAUUUUUUACGCCUUUUUUUUUUCUUCUCUUUCUAGUGUGAUACUUUAAUCUGUUAAUUUGUGCAUACAUGUAAGUUUUUUUUUUUUGGUGUGUGCCAUUUUUAUUCUAGAGAUGAGCUGAUCAUUUGUGUACAUGUUUUGCGUUUCAAGAACUGUUUUCGCACGAGAAUGCCGGUAUUCC